GAAAAAGUCCCGUUUGUCCUUAUGAUUCAUUUUGGUGGUUUUUGGAUGAUGUUGUAUUGAUUCAUGACGACUCACUCGGCAUCUGGUAUGAAUUAAACCGGACUUUCUCUUGGUGACAGUAAAACGAAAGAUCUUAAACAAGGCUCACAUUAAAAAGAGGCCUGGUGGGAAUACGAGGGUUUGAGCAAUCUUUAGGACUUGAGUCAGCUCAGUGAGAUGCUGUACCAUCUCAGCAAGUUGAGCAGAAAUCGACACUCGGCCUCAGUGUGGUGCUGCCCAUGACGUGAUGUCUGCUCCUGGUUUCCACCCCGCUGACUCCUCGCAGUGUUACCAACAAUGGGGGAAAGGAAGUUUGCAUCAUCUUUGCUGAGCUCCUAUAUUAAAGCUGUCCCAGAUAGACAGCCAGAACGAGGGUACACAGUGAACACACAGUCAUCAUCAAACAAACCGUGACGGUACACGAGAGCUGGGACGGCUGCAGCUCUCACAUGGGAAAGAGAGAAGGAGAGAGCAACGUGUGAACAGGCGGAACAGACAGAUCCAUCCAAGAGCUGAGAAGUGGCCGUCUGGAUUUCAGCUGGCCUCAGAUGAGGCUCGAUGCGGACGUCCAGAAUGUCACCAAGGACCUGUGUUCUCAUAGCACUCAAUGCUUAUAUUCAAAAAGAAGAAAGAGCUCAAUCAGUGACCUCAGCUUCUGCCUUAAGAAACUAGAAAAAGGUGAGUAAGUUAAGUCCCAAGUAAGCAAGUGAAAGGAACUGACAAAGACCAAAGAGGAAAUCAGUGAACUGGAAAACAGAAGAACAAUAGGGGAAAUCAAUGAAACCAAAAGCUGGUUCUUUGAGAAAAUCAAUAAAACUGAUAAACAUCUAGCCAGACUGACUAGGGAAAAAAUAGAGAAAACAUAAAUUACCAACAUCAAGAUUAAGAGAGGGGACAUUACUACAGAUUCUAUAGACAUUAAAAGGAUAAUAAGGGAAUAUUAUAAACAACUUUAUGUCACUAAAUUCCAUAACUUAGAUAAUACGGACUUUCAGUUUCCUUUUAAGUCUCAAACUCCCAAAGCUCACCCAGAAGAUGCAGGUGACUUGAAUAGCCCUAUAUUUAUUAAAGAAAUCAAAUUUGUAGCUAAAAAAACCUUCUCACCAAGGAAACUCCAGGCCCAGAUGGCUUUACUGGUGAGUUCUACCAAACAUUUAAGGAAAAAAUAAUGCCACUUCUACACAAAGGCUUCCAGAAGAACGAAGAGGAGAGAGCACUGACCAGC
rnacentral:lncRNA from 1 species